CGCGCGCACAGCAAUCAAUCUGAGUAACGGUCGACUGCUUUCAAACGGAUCAACCGUCAUUAACUGACAAUCGAGCGCGCGAGACGACGUUCACUUUCGGGGUUAAUUAUAAAGAAAGCGUAGUGGUUUCGUCGCGCCGCGGACAGUAUAGUCGUUAUGUUGAGCGUGACUGUGGAUUCUCUCUCUCUCUCUCUUUCUGUGCUCUGCUCACUUUAAAGCAGUUAUAAGCGCAGAGGACCCACAGACACCAGCAGCAAAGCUCCAAGCGCGGAAUAACGUCCACUACCGGAGCCCUACGGGACUUUAACUGGCGUCUUUUUCAACCGAAUCCUCAGGACGAUGUUCCUUGUGCAGUACACAGGUUUUCCUCACGAGCUCUGGCAGCAAAGCAUGCUGGAUCGCCGAGGGCCAAACCCAGCCACUGGAGAUGCACUAAGCCUUGGUCCACCUCCCAGUUUGUGAUGGAGCAGAUCGGUGGCUUAAGGGCCGCCAUGCACUGUUGCCGGGUCUCUGCUGAGAUGACAGAGCCAAAAUGGAAAAACAAUUGGAAGCAGCACGGUGUAUACCAUGAUGGAUCGUCCAGAAGAUGCAGGAUACUACAUCUCUCAAGUGUGCCUGUGUUUGCUAGGGCCCCUGAGAAUGUGCCGAGAUGCAACCGCUAGCUCACUGUAGAUAAUGGAAAAAAUCACAUGUUCCUACUAUUUUUCAUCUAAUACUAUAAAUCUGCACUGAAAUUGCUUUUUUCGUUUAAGCCUGAGUCACUAGGUAACUCAUAUAAUGCACAUCCUCAAGUAAAGAACUUUCCUUUUCAUGCACUUCUUGCUGGAACCUUUCUUCACCUCGUGCCCUUGUUUCAUUGAACUCUGAAGAACUGUGUAUUUUCUUUUAUUUCUGUUUUUGUUUGUUUUCCUGUUUUCAGUGUGGAUCAGUGAGUCUAGUUUACUCCAGUUCUGACUCAGUGAUUUUCCGUUUUCAAUGUGGUUUGGGUUGGAGCUCAUCAGCUGCUAUUUUUGCUAGUUUUGCAUAAACUCACAAACCACUAAGAACACCUUCUUUCAUUAGGAGUCUAAAACACUUUAAAAAAAGCUCAAAUCCAACCAACAAUUUGUAGAAUGAAUGAACGGCUCAGUGUAUGAUUUGAGGUCAGGCGUCAAAGGAAAGGCUGUAACUUUUACUAGUCUGACGUUGCCACCAACCAGCCUCCAUGCAGUUAAAACAAGAUUGCUCAACCCUUUAAAAGGGGCUUUUAUGUUGUUGUUGUUGGUGGUGUUAUUUUUAUUAUUAUUAUUUUUUUUUAAGUUGUAGUUUUGUCUAUUGUUUCCUAGUCCCCAGGAUUGGCUUUGCACAUUAAAAGACAACAUAUCACAAGGUGGGAUGAUUUACUUCUGGUUUUGUCUUUUAUUGUUGUUGUUGUUGGUGGUGUAUUUUAUUAUUAUAUUUUUUUUAAGUUGAGUUUUGUCAUUGUUUCCAGUCCCCAGGAUUGGCUUUGCACAUUAAAAGACAACAUA
rnacentral:lncRNA from 1 species